CUCAAUAAUACAGUGACGUGGACAAGCCACAGGGGAACACGCUGGCUAAAUGUCAAAGUUUGCUUGUUAGUUAGCUCACUUAAAAGGAGUCCUCCUCGCCUCCUUCUCAAAACCCAUUGGAUGAGAAAGCCAGAGAUCCCGCCCCUCUAACCUUCUCCACCAAUGAUAUUCAAACUCAGGAGCUCCUGUUUUCGAGACAGGCACUUCAACCAGCUAAGCCACAGCGCUCACAGUUUUCAGCUCUGCAGACAGAGAGGGAAGCACAAGAGCCCACCCCCAUAGUGGUUAGAGCAUUGGACUAGUAAUUGAAAGGUUGCAAGAUCGAAUCCCCCGAGCUGACAAGCUUUAGGGGGCAAAACGAAUCUGGGACAUUACAAAUUAUCCAGAGGAAAAACGUUCUUAAAAACGUCACUUGUUGUGCAGCAAAGUGUUCCUGUUGUUGUCAGCCCAACACUAGUCCUGGACGGUCAACCUGGAGUUGAGAAGAAGAAAACAAGUGCUGCUCUCAGUGCUCUUUCCCCAUGUGUAACGGCUUAAGAUGUCCUACCAGUGCCUUGUAUCCGGGGGAAGAGGUGAAGCGUGACAACAGGCUGGAGGUUGGACCGACCGUCACCCUGGUCUAUAGUGAGAGGAAGGGCUUCAGGGGCUGACAGCCAGACAAAGACAGACACAUGUCGACAAUGUGUAUACUCAGGCCCUGACAGAGUUUGGGUUAAUAGUGGGAGUCUCGUAUGAGGAUCGACUGACGAGCAGCUUGUCAACUCUCCAUCUACAUGCUGUUGGAGGAUCAGGAGGAUCACCCACCAUGUCCAUGGAAGGAAGAGCAAGGCAGACAGAUGGAGAGAGAUAGACAGCAAACCACAGAAGAAGAUUAAAAUAUGUGGUUUUCGGUGAUGUCACGUGUGCUCCCCCUCCGGCCUCUAGGUCUCCAGGCUGCUCGUUAUGGCGCACACCUGUCACCAUCGUUACGUGCACCUGCGCAUCAUCAGACUCACCUGGACUCCAUCACUUCCCUGAUUACCUUCCCUAUAUAUGUCACUCCCUUUGGUUCCUUCACCAGGCCUUAUUGUUUCUGAUUCUGUGUCAUGUCUUUGCGUUGUUCGUGGUUUCUUGUUUUGUAUUAUGUUACGUUUAUUUAUUAAAACACACUCCC
rnacentral:lncRNA from 1 species